CUGUGCAACUGUGACUGCAUCGUUUUAACAACUAUGAUUACAUUUCUAUUGGAAAUAUCGGAGCAUUUCAGUAACGUAGAAAUGCGGGAUAAAAUCUGGCGAAGAUAAAGAAAUAUUUUAAUACAAGAUAUAUGAUGGUUUCAGAGCUUGACCGAAGAUUUCAUUUCACACCGUACAUCCAAUCACUUUGUAAAUAUUACGUUUGUUUUGUUACCAUGUCGACAUGAGAACUCACCAAAUUCGAUCAACGUGAUAUUUACGAAAAUGUCAAAUUUAUUUAAAUGCAAGAUACAAAAUGAUAGUUCUUAAAAUACAUAGAUCGUAUAAUUUUGAAUAGGUCAAAAUAUGUAUGUAUGUAUGUAUGUAUCAGCAAUAAUGGCGAUUGAUUUGUAAUUAAUUUUACAAAUUUUGCUUCGAUUUUUGUACUUUGAUUAUUACACAAUGAAGUCUGAACGAUUUUCUUUGAGAGAGGAUAUUUCAGCUGAACUAAUUCAGAGAAUUCAAGAAUUUCGAAGAAUUUCAAAGAAUUCAAAAGGAUUUCAUUCAAAAUUCAGAGUAAGGUAAAUAUUUGAUUAAAUUAAAUACAGCAACUAUUAAGAAGUAAAUAAUUUAAAAGAUUAUAUUUAAUAGCAUAUACUUGCGAUUAGAGUGGAAGUCUAUUUAUUUAAUGUUUAUAGAAAUUUGAUUUGAUUUGAUGUGAUAUUUUGAUUGUACAUAUGUUUCUCUUUUUUGAUAUACAUAACUGCUUCUUUGUACACUUGUACUGAAUUUAUUUUAUUGUACCUAUACAUUGUCAUGACUAAUUUGAAAUAAAGGUGUAACAUAUAUAGCACCCCACCAAUAAAUAUUGUCUAAAUUUACAAUAUUUUGUAUUUUGGUAUGUUGUACAAGUCUUUACAUAUAUUUGAAUGUUUAUUUUGAUUUCGUCGAUAAAAUGAUUCUUUUUGAGCUUUUUUGAGCACACCAAAUUUAUAACCCAUUCUUAUAUGGUAUGAUAGUUUUCAAGUAGUUUUCGAAUAGAAUUCAGAAAUACAAAUUUUAAGGCGAAGAAAUCUGUUUUAAAAAUUAUGCAUGUAUAAAAUUUGUGCAUAGCGUACGAUUUACUUGGACGCCAUUUUAAGAAUGUUUAAUUAUGUAUAAUUGAAGAAUGAUUUGAAUCGAUGGUUGUAUACAGAUGCGCGUGGUAAUUCUUUUAAUAAAUCAAGAAAGUAACUCACAUUUACUUCGCUCAGAAAAUUAUACAGUAUUUUUUGAAAAAGCAAUCUUAUUAGUUGUAUAAAAGCAUAAUGUUUUCAAAUUGCCGCUGCUAGUGACACCAUGAGAUCAACGUUUUUAGUGAACGGUCGGCAAAGUCGUUAUCGUUAUAUUAUUGAUCUACAGUGGAACUAAACAGGGCAGCCUCCAACUCUUUAUAGGUUUUUGUAUAUACCCGCGUGAAACCGCUUCUUGGACUUGACCGCGUGGUGCAACAUCUGUAUUGGAAUUGUGGUGUUACGGUCAGCGCUUGUUCAAAUGUUGGUUACAAAACAGGCAAUUUCUUUGGAUAGGUGUACGACGACUUUCAUGAAACACAAGUUUUUUCUAACAGCAAUGGUUUUCUUUACUGCAAAUAUUUAAACAAUUAACGGUAGGGCCACGAUAUGUUGCAAGCAUGUGACGGCAUAAGAAGAAGAAUGUCGAUCCUCGGUAAUAUCGAUGAAAUAUUCGUGGUCAAGGAGUUGCUUCUGAAAUUUCGGACGAUGUGGAUGUGUUCUGAUGUAAUGACUGUGGUCCAAUCUACAGUCAUAUAUUAGGUUGGCAUCGUUAGGUGGUAAUGACAAAAUCCGCAAUCACUUAGUUGCCAACCCAAUAAAUAUGUUUCCAUUCUUAUAUAUUAUACCGAAAGCAUAGAAGAUACCCUCCAAAAACUGAGUCGCGAAAAGUCAACAUGGAAGACAUCGAAGUCCUUGUUCUUGCGGGACAUGCUAUAAAUGUCUCAGACAGAGACUGACACAUUUCACUCAUCUCUGUCUGUCAUGCAAGAACAAGAACUUUGAUAUCAUACAUGUUGAUUUUUCACGAGUUAACUUUCGGACGAUUCUACGUAGCAGGUAUCGAGACUUUAUAAGACCGUCGAUUGGACCACGAUCGUAUACACACGUCUGGGAACUCCUAUGAAAGGGAAUUUUUUGUGUAACGUUAUCGCGGAAAAAUAACCCAGACCCGGUCGUAUCUGCCCCUUUCUCUCUCCCCCUCCCCUUAAUGCGGCCGUGGACUCGACUCACGGUGGACCGAGUAGCACGGGAGGUGAAAGGAGGAAACAAGAUCACGAUAAUGAUUUUAGAGACAAACUUUUGCCUUAUACGAUUAUUAUGAUUACCUUACUAAUUACUUUGUAUUUAACUAAUGUCAAAUAAAUGUUAUGUAACAUAAA